CAGCAGCCGCGGUAAUACGUAGGGUGCGAGCGUUAAUCGGAAUUACUGGGCGUAAAGCGUGCGCAGGCGGUUGUGUAAGACAGGCGUGAAAUCCCCGGGCUCAACCUGGGAAUGGCGCUUGUGACUGCACGGCUGGAGUGCGGCAGAGGGGGAUGGAAUUCCGCGUGUAGCAGUGAAAUGCGUAGAUAUGCGGAGGAACACCGAUGGCGAAGGCAGUCCCCUGGGCCUGCACUGACGCUCAUGCACCAAAGCGUGGGGAGCAAACAGGAUUAGAUACCCUGGUAGUCCACGCCCUAAACGAUGUCGACUGGUUGUUGGGUCUUAGGUGACUCAGUAACGAAGCUAACGCGUGAAGUCGACCGCCUGGGGAGUACGGCCGCAAGGUUGAAACUCAAAUAAAUUGACGG
rnacentral:rRNA from 1 species